rnacentral:rRNA from 1 species
AGAGUUUGAUCAUGGCUCAGAAUCAACGCUGGCGGCGUGCCUAGCACAUGCAAGUCGAACGCGAAAGCCCCGCAAGGGGCAAGUAGAGUGGCAAACGGGUGAGUAACACGUGGGUGACCUGCCUUCGAGCGGGGGAUAACGUCCCGAAAGGGACGCUAAUACCGCAUAACAUCCUGCCUUUGGAGAGGUGGAGAUCAAAGCUGGGGAUCGCAAGACCCGGCACUUGAAGAGGGGCCCGCGUCUGAUUAGCUAGUUGGUGGGGUAACGGCCUACCAAGGCAACGAUCAGUAUCCGGCCUGAGAGGGCGGACGGACACACUGGGACUGAGACACGGCCCAGACUCCUACGGGAGGCAGCAGUGGGGAAUUGUUCGCAAUGGGCGCAAGCCUGACGACGCAACGCCGCGUGGAGGAUGAAGAUUUUCGGAUCGUAAACUCCUGUCGAAUGGGACGAACAGAUUGCGGGUUAACAGCCCGUAGUCCUGACGGUACCGUUAAAGGAAAC